UGACUGCGUACCUUUUGUAUAAUGGGUCAGCGACUUAUAUUCUGUAGCAAGGUUAACCGUAUAGGGGAGCCGCAGGGAAACCGAGUCUUAACUGGGCGUUAAGUUGCAGGGUAUAGACCCGAAACCCGGUGAUCUAGCCAUGGGCAGGUUGAAGGUUGGGUAACACUAACUGGAGGACCGAACCGACUAAUGUUGAAAAAUUAGCGGAUGACCUGUGGCUGGGGGUGAAAGGCCAAUCAAACCGGGAGAUAGCUGGUUCUCCCCGAAAGCUAUUUAGGUAGCGCCUCGUGAACUCAUCUCCGGGGGUAGAGCACUGUUUCGGCUAGGGGGCCAUCCCGGCUUACCAACCCGAUGCAAACUGCGAAUACCGGAGAAUGUUAUCACGGGAGACACACGGCGGGUGCUAACGUCCGUCGUGAAGAGGGAAACAACCCAGACCGCCAGCUAAGGUCCCAAAGUCAUGGUUAAGUGGGAAACGAUGUGGGAAGGCCCAGACAGCCAGGAUGUUGGCUUAGAAGCAGCCAUCAUUUAAAGAAAGCGUAAUAGCUCACUGGUCGAGUCGGCCUGCGCGGAAGAUGUAACGGGGCUAAACCAUGCACCGAAGCUGCGGCAGCGACGCUUAUGCGUUGUUGGGUAGGGGAGCGUUCUGUAAGCCGUCGAAGGUGGCCUGUGAGGGCUGCUGGAGGUAUCAGAAGUGCGAAUGCUGACAUAAGUAACGAUAAACAAGGUGAAAAACCUUGUCGCCGGAAGACCAAGGGUUCCUGUUCAACGUUAAUCGGAGCAGGGUGAGUCGACCCCUAAGGCGAGGCCGAAAGGCGUAGUCGAUGGGAAACAGGUUAAUAUUCCUGUACUUGGUGUUACUGCGAAGGGGGGACGGAGAAGGCUAUAUCAGCCGGGCGACGGUUGUCCCGGUUUAAGCGUGUAGGUGUGUGUUCCAGGCAAAUCCGGUUCACUUUACACUGAGGCGUGACGACGAGGCACUACGGUGCUGAAGUGAUAAAUGCCCUGCUUCCAGGAAAAGCCUCUAAGCAUCAGGUAACACAAAAUCGUACCCCAAACCGACACAGGUGGUCAGGUAGAGAAUACCAAGGCGCUUGAGAGAACUCGGGUGAAGGAACUAGGCAAAAUGGUGCCGUAACUUCGGGAGAAGGCACGCUGUCGGUAGGUGAAACCCCUUGCGGGUGGAGCUGAAGGCAGUCGAAGAUACCAGCUGGCUGCAACUGUUUAUUAAAAACACAGCACUGUGCAAACACGAAAGUGGACGUAUACGGUGUGACGCCUGCCCGGUGCCGGAAGGUUAAUGGAUGGGGUUAUCCGCAAGGAGAAGCUCUUGAUCGAAGCCCCGGUAAACGGCGGCCGUAACUAUAACGGUCCUAAGGUAGCGAAAUUCCUUGUCGGGUAAGUUCCGACCUGCACGAAUGGCGUAAUGAUGGCCAGGCUGUCUCCACCCGAGACUCAGUGAAAUUGAAAUCGCUGUGAAGAUGCAGUGUACCCGCGGCAAGACGGAAAGACCCCGUGAACCUUUACUACAGCUUGACACUGAACACUGAGCCUUGAUGUGUAGGAUAGGUGGGAGGCUUUGAAGCGCGGACGCCAGUCUGCGUGGAGCCAACCUUGAAAUACCACCCUUUAAUGUUUGGUGUUCUAACGUAGGCCCGUAAUCCGGGCUGCGGACAGUGUCUGGUGGGUAGUUUGACUGGGGCGGUCUCCUCCCAAAGCGUAACGGAGGAGCACGAAGGUUGGCUAAUCCUGGUCGGACAUCAGGAGGUUAGUGCAAUGGCAUAAGCCAGCUUGACUGCGAGAGUGACGGCUCGAGCAGGUGCGAAAGCAGGUCAUAGUGAUCCGGUGGUUCUGAAUGGAAGGGCCAUCGCUCAACGGAUAAAAGGUACUCCGGGGAUAACAGGCUGAUACCGCCCAAGAGUUCAUAUCGACGGCGGUGUUUGGCACCUCGAUGUCGGCUCAUCACAUCCUGGGGCUGAAGUAGGUCCCAAGGGUACGGCUGUUCGCCGUUUAAAGUGGUACGCGAGCUGGGUUUAGAACGUCGUGAGACAGUUCGGUCCCUAUCUGCCGUGGGCGCUGGAGAAUUGAGGGGGGUGGCUCCUAGUACGAGAGGACCGGAGUGAACGCACCGCUGGUGUCCGGGUUGUCACGCCAGUGGCACUGCCCGGUAGCUAAGUGCGGAAAAGAUAAGUGCUGAAAGCAUCUAAGCACGAAACUUGCCCCGAGAUGAGUUCU
rnacentral:rRNA from 1 species